rnacentral:lncRNA from 1 species
GUUAUAUCAUGAGAGGGCAGGGAAGGCUGAAUCAUUAAGGACAUGAAUCAGAUUGAUUCUCGUGGCUUUAAAAACAAACACCACAGGACCAGCGUGACCUGACAGCCUGUUCUUAUCCACAGAGGCUUGUGGUCUCCAUCGAAAAGAAGCAAAGACAGCACGUCCCAACUCAAAAGAUUGUGUCAUCCUAAAGGGGAAUCUGUGCAUCUGAAGAUGGCUCCUGUCCUUUCGCAACAUGGCAGCAAGCCAUGUGUUUGAGACAUGCAGA